ensembl:lncRNA
CUGAGCCUCCCGGGGAACAGCCAUGACCAAAGACCCGCGGGCCCAGGCGCGGGCACCUACCCCUACCAGCGCAGGCCUGUGGGAGCGCAGGGGCCGAGGCCGAGACUCUGGACAUCCAGCCCCACACCUCUGACGACCCGGGCACAUCUGCGGAGCCCGGGAGAACAAUCAGCGGGCUCUGCGUCCCGGGAGCUGGGGACACGCCUGCAAGGGCUUUCCGCCUGCACACAGUCAUUUGGAGAAAAUCAAGAGAGUAUUCAACCUUGGAAAUGGCUGACCACUGCCUCCGUUUGCAGCUUCAGAAGCGAAGCUGGCGUGCGAUCUCCUUGGCGGGAGGACUGGGCACAGUCCCUGCCUUGCCCAGCUGCCGGAGCCCGCACAUCGCGGUCUCAGGAUUUCCCCGUAGGCCUAGGCCUGCAGUCCUCGGGCGGAGACGGGGCCUGGGGGAGGGACCGUCACCGGGCCAGGCACAGGCAGUCUACCCCGGUGCCUGUAGGGUGCUCGAGUUUCCCACACGCGGGAAGCGGAGGCGUGGGCCAAGCGCCGGGGGCUACCCAAGAACACCACUGCCCAGUGAGACGCGCAGGGCCUGGCGGCGCGAAACUUCCACAAAGCCGCCGGCCGCCUCCGGCCUUGCCUCCGCUACGCAAUCCCAGCUGCCUAGACCUCGGUGUCUUCCCAAACAAUGAGCCCAGCCAGUGCACUAGACUGUUCCGCUCUGACUUCUUCUGCCCGCACAUGGGGACCCCAGCGAAAGGUUACGGGUUGGAACCAGUCUGCGCAUCUCCUUCCACGCGGCGCAUCCUUCGGGAAGACAAACAGAGUACGUCCCCACAUCCAUUUCAGGCCCUGGUCUGUGGGCUGGGCCACAGUCCUGGAAGACCCAAGGGGUCACGGGUCCAGAUCCGUCUUUACUUGGUCCUCCGCUCCAGGACUCCAGGGCCCUGGGCAGCAGAGAGGUGGAUUUCAGAGAGAGUCCGGGUCAGCCAGGCCUUGAACUCAGCCCCUCUGAACUCCACCGUCAGCAGCGGGGGCGGCAACUCAACUCUCCCGGGAGGAGGAUGCACCCCCAGAACGGAAAAUCCGCAAACGUCGGGCAGAGAACCACAAGCAUUUCUACCUUUCUUUCCACAAGCCCCCCAGAAAGUUAUCGCCAGAACCUCUGGGACCUGAGCCGACUCCAGCCUCCAGCAACUCCCUCAACCUUCCAAGGAAACUUUCAGAAGUUUCCCUUUCCCUGGCUCCUCAAUUCCUUGGACUUUCUCCAGCCCCCAGGUUUGCUUAUUACUCUGCUGGCUGCCCUUUAGUCUCUAGGGUUCCCCAGGCCCGAGUGUUUCCAGAAUAAUAAUAAUAAUAAUUGUUAUUACGAGGCUGGGGAAGAACAGGAUCAGAGGGUAGGAGGGACUGAGGGAGAGAGUGGAAACGUUUAUGAAAAGGUUUAUUUAAACCUGUGUUUCAAAAGGGUUCAGUUGACAAUUAUCAGUAACCCCGAUAGACAACUCCAUUAAAAAAAAAAAAAAAAAGAAUUUACUACUGCUCUUGAAAGCCGUUAUUUUUUACAUCGCUUUUUAGGAAGAUAGAUGAACAAAACAUCGCGUUUCAAGCCAUUUUGAUCUGUAAUUGAAAGGCAGGAUCGGUUUGUAUUCUCCUACGGCUUUUACAGAAGUUGCAGUGAUCCAAAGUCGGGUUGCUGUGUCAGAGUGGCAUUUUUAUUAAUGAGAAUACAAAAAGCUUGCAUAUUCUUAGCCCUGCUUGAAUUUAGUUGCUAAGCAACCGGUGUAUGGUAAUUCAUCCGCGAAAUUUAAAUCUUCGAGAAAGGUUCGUGCGUUUUGCUGAAUGGUCGCCACGAGGAAAACAACUUGUGGGACCCGCAGCAGCUGCCACAGUCUGGCCGCCCGGCCGUGCCGGGCCGAGCAGGGACCCGGCCGCCCCACCGCGACCGCCACCGCCC